CCCAGCAGCCCCCCAACAACCCCACCAGCCAUCCGAAGAGGAUAAUGGCCCCCGCCAUGCCCAUGAAUCCGGCUGUCAUCCGCCGCAGGUCUGUGGGAGCAAAGGCAGGCUGAAGAGCGAGCGGUGCUUGUGUGUGAGGUUUAUUUAUUCUUUGAGCCUGUAUCAGUAGCCAGUAUUGUAUCUGAUUUGGGCUUCCGAUGUACUGGACAGAAGAUUACGCUCCGCGCAGGACUGAAGGACAGAAGCUCAGCUUCUCACCGGCCUGCGGGUGAACUGGGAGGUUAGAAGUGAAGCUGCCUAAUCACUGGAUCUGAAGCGAGAUCCACGUUGCUGGAAGUUGUACAGCUCAGGGGUUUUCAGCUUUUCUUAAAACAGAACCCCCCCCCCCCCCAAUGAAAACAGACCGGUGCUAGGAAUACUCCCCCACUAAUGUGAGAUUGCAUGAAUUAUUAAGAACUAAAGAUCCGGGGACUUCAAUACUUCUUUCCCCAUUGGGGGGCCCUUUCAAUAGUUUUCGCUCUGAGUGGGAAGCCUUUAGUUUAAUUUUUGCAUGUUGAAAGCCCCUGUUGUGGUGGACGAUGUGAAGUAUCACUAGACUAUAAAUGAAGGAUUCAAUGGGAUUAACAGGCAGUACGGCCAACCUGAUCUUAUUAUGAACAGGUUUGCUCUGAGAGGCCUACUUUUCAUGUCAAAUACAUAUUAAUGAUUCAAAUACAGAAUCCAUUGGUCCUAGAACUCCUAGAAUAUGGUCACAGAUGUAGUAACACAUUAACCCUAAAUGUUAGAUUGGCUGCUUAUGACAGGCAGGAGUGAGAGUGUUGUGGGUGGUGUGUGCAGGGUGCGUGAGUAGUUAUUCUUUCCCAGUAAGGAACAGGCACUGGGCCAAACAGGGGUCUACAGCCUGCGAAUAUGACCACCCACUAAGCUCGCGCUGAGCUCCAGCCCUCAAGGGAUGACCUAGAAUGAGUCAAACCACAAGUAUUGUAGAGCAUAAAUCUGAGUAUAUUACAUUUGCUGGAAUAACUGACCCUUCAGUAUUAUGAAGCACUAUCAAGCAGAAGCAGGGACCAUUUUAAUACCUCUAUAGGAAGAGUUUCUGUAUCUCAAAUUACAAAUAGCACUUGGCUUUCCAGAGGUGAAAGGUUCAUCAGCUCAAAGUUGUAAUAUUACUCAUGAUAAUAAUCUGGAUCUGCUGUAGUUCAAAAAAAAAAAACAAGCUGAAAAUACCUCUGACCUUGGAAAAACGCGACCCAGAGCUCACUGCACCUGCUUCUCCUGCUUUUAUUCUCUCCUUCUAAUUUUCAGACACAGCGGGGAAUUCAGAGUUGCUGAUGAUUAAUAGGCUGACCGCAUGCAACACUUCAGGCAAUUAGGGAAGAACUGACCCCAGAAGCCUAGGUGCCCUGUCCAAGUCUGUCCGUACCCUGCAACGGUGCUCCUUCUUUUAAUUAUAGCUUUUGCUUGCUUGUUCUACAGAAGGUAAUAUGGUGAAGCAGGUCCACUGUACUUUAUAACUUAUGUCUCAUGAUAUUUGUCUUGCACGCCGCGAUCUGUUACCACAAUAAUUCCAAGUACGAACCUUGCAAUCGCACACAGCAUAGAGGACAAAACCCCUUGAUAAAGACGUGAGCAUUAGCAGGAUGUGAUAAUCAGCUAGAAUUAGAGUCAGAUGAACACGUAGGAUGCUCCUGUAGGGCUGAGAACUUACUCGCUGUGACCUCCAGAAUGCAGCACGAUCAGGCUGGGGGGGACAGGAACCGCAGCGGGAAUGUGCUUGGAGCCGUCACCUGCUACAUGGAGGCCAAAAGCGCUCACCUACUCAUACCUGCUAGUACUGUAGGUACGUUCAAGGCAUCCAAAUUCAGAGCUCCAGUGAUAGGCCGCUAUAACAGGCAGUUCCCAGGCUACAAACGAGAUCCGUUCCCUCUGUCUGUCUUUAAGUCGAAUUUGUAGGUAAGUCAGAAAAAUUAUGAUCAGAGGUGGAGAUUUCAGGUCCAGAGAGUACAAAUCC